AUGCUGGGAUUCCCAGGAACACCUGCAGCAAAGCAGAGUUUGGCCAUUCAUCCUUCAAGGACACUGAACGUGCUGCUACCUCAACCUUCGUGCAUCAGUUUUCCCUACGAUGAGGAGAAAAAACCCACUCUUUUGAAAUGCGAGUCAUUUGUAAUGUUACGUGCAGAAGAUUCUGGUGUCGUGAUCUUUCACUUUUGCCCUGCAUCUAAUACUGAGGAUCAUUCAGCCAUGAUGAAACCAGCUGGAGGAAACUCUCUCCUGCAAGACAUGAAGGCCAAUGAUGUUUUAAGAAGUGUCUGGACUUUCAACUUUAGUAUUGAAUUUGCUUUUGUAAAGAAGAACCUGCCUUAA
rnacentral:lncRNA from 1 species